rnacentral:rRNA from 1 species
AAAAAACGGCUACCACAUCUAAGGAAGGCAGCAGGCGCGUAAAUUACCCAAUCCUGACUCAGGGAGGUAGUGACAAGAAAUAGCAAACCGGGAACCUCAUGGUUUCACGGUAUUGCAAUGAGAACAAUUUAAAACCCUUAGCGAGAAUCAAGUGGAGGACAAGUCUGGUGCCAGCACCCGCGGUAAUUCCAGCUCCACUAGCGUAUAUUAAAGUUGUUGCAGUUAAAAAGCUCGUAGUUGAACCCCUGUCUGGGGCUAGUUUUGGCUUUGGUCAGGCUAGUUUCUAGGCAUCCGCCUACAAGACUUAGAGGGCAUUCAGUUGUUCACUAGAGGAGUAGGCAUUUUACUUUGAAAAAAUUAGAGUGUUUAAGGCAGGCAAUCGCCCGCAUAUAUUAGCAUGGAAUAAUAGAAUAGGACACUUUUCCAUUUCGUUGGUUAUUGGAAUCGUGUAAUGAUUAAUAGGGACAGUUGUGGGCAUUUGUAUUUAAUUGUCAGAGGUGAAAUUCUUGGAUUUAUUAAAGACAAACUAACGCGAAAGCAUUUGCCAAGGAUGUUUUCAUUAAUCAAGAACGAAAGUUAGGGGAUCAAAGACGAUCAGAUACCGUCCUAGUCUUAACUAUAAACUAUUCCGACUCAAUGUUUGACUGGCUUAUAUAACCAGUUGAGCGUUGUAUGAGAAAUCAAAGUCUUUAGGUUCUGGGGGGAGUAUGGUUGCAAAGCUGAAACCUAAAGGAAUUGACGGAAGAGCACAACCAGGAGUGGAUUCUGCGGCUUAAUUUGACUCAACACGGGGAAACUUACCAGGUUAAAACAAUAGUGGGAUUGACAGUUUGAGAGCGCUUUCUUGAUUGGUUGGGUGGUGGUGCAUGGCCGUUCUUAGUUGGUGGAGUGAUUUGUCUGCUUAAUUGCGUUAACGAACGAGACCUUAACCUGCUUACCAGACUGGCGAUCAUCAAUCGUUAGCUCUUCUUAGAGGGACUUUGGUUGUUUUAACUCCAAGGAGGUUUGAGGUAAUAACAGGUCUGUGAUGCCCUCAGAUAUCCUGGGCCGCACGCGUCAUACAAUGACUAGUUCAGAAAGUUUUCUCCUGACCCGAAAGGGGAUGGGUAAUCUUGAUAAUACUAGUCGUGUUAGGGAUCGAUCUUUGCAAUUAUAGAUCUUGAACGAGGAAUUCCUAGUAAGUGCGGUUCAUCAGACCGUACUGAUUACGUCCCUGCUCUUUGUACACACCGCCCGUCGCUUCUACCGAGUGGGUGGUCCGGUGAGAUAAUUGAACUUCGCAGGUAACUGAGAGGAAAGAUUAUCAAACCUAUCCACCUCGAGGAAGAAGAAGUCGUAACAAGGUU